AACGAACGCUGGUGGCAUGCCUAAUACAUGCAAGUCGAACGAGAAAGCACUUCGGUGUGAGUAGAGUGGCGCACGGGUGAGUAACGCGUAGGUAACGUGCCUUGUAGUGGGGGACAACAUCGGGAAACCGGUGCUAAUACCGCAUAAGCAAGAAAUUGGAAAGGUGGCUUCGGCUAUCGCUACAAGAUCGGCCUGCGUGACAUUAGCUUGAUGGUGGGGUAAUGGCCUACCAUGGCGACGAUGUCUAGCUGGUCUGAGAGGAUGAUCAGCCACACUGGAACUGAGACACGGUCCAG
rnacentral:rRNA from 1 species